GUGAAAUUGUUGAAAGGGAAGCGCUUGCAACCAGACCUGCCUGCAGUUGCUCAUCCGGGCUUUUGCCCGGUGCACUCUUCUGCUGUCAGGCCAGCAUCGGUUCGGGCGGUCGGAUAAAGGCUUCGGGAAUGUAGCUCCUCUCGAGGAGUGUUAUAGCCCGUUGCGAAAUGCGGCCAGCCUGAACUGAGGUCCGCGCUUCGGCUAGGAUGCUGGCGUAAUGGUUGUAAGCGGCCCGUCUUGAAACACGGACCAAGGAGUCUAACAUCUGUGCGAGUGUUUGGGUGUCAAACCCGUACGCGUAAUGAAAGUGAACGGAGGCGGGAACCCCUCGGGGUGCGCCGUCGACCGAUCCUGAUGUCUUCGGAUGGAUUUGAGUAAGAGCAUAGCUGUUGGGACCCGAAAGAUGGUGAACUAUGCCUGAAUAGGGUGAAGCCAGAGGAAACUCUGGUGGAGGCUCGCAGCGGUUCUGACGUGCAAAUCGAUCGUCAAAUUUGGGCAUAGGGGCGAAAGACUAAUCGAACUAUCUAGUAGCUGGUUCCUGCCGAAGUUUCCCUCAGGAUAGCAGUAACGUUUUCAGUUUUAUGAGGUAAAGCGAAUGAUUAGAGGCCUGGGGGUUGAAACAACCUUCACCUAUUCUCAAACUUUAAAUAUGUAAGAAGUCCUUGUUACUUAGUUGAACGUGGACAUUUGAAUGUAUCGUUACU
rnacentral:rRNA from 1 species